CGUUCAACUGCAGAGCCCCCCAGGCGCCCUAAAACCGUUUUGUUUUGUUUUUCCCAAAACCAUUUUUAAAAAGUAGUUUCUUUUUGCAAUGUGCAUCUGAGCCUCUAUUUGAACCCCAAAGUGUGUGGCAGUUUGUGAAUCCACAUUGGAGAGACUCCGCCCGCAAGCGUCACUCCAGUCUCAUCUCCUAGAGUUGAGUAUAUGGCACUUGCCUUAUGUUUUCCAACAUACAUUUGGAAAGUGCUGGUCGAAACUGGAUUUCAGACCGGCUGCUUCUGAGAGCCGAGGACUGGCACUCCGGCUCUGCUCCCCCCGAUGUCUGGCAGCGGGGCCCGGUGAGCAGAGCCGAACACACAGCGGCCACGUGUGACUCACGGCUUUUGCCCAAGGAGCUGACCCACUCGCAGGUGGUGGCCUUUGUGAAACACCCACACUUUAAAGGAAAACGACACCAUUAGUGCUUUCUCCCCUGAAAAGAGUCACAAAAGUAAAAUGGAAAAUAUACCAUCUGAGCGGUGGCUGUCCUGUGAAGUAGAAGCACCGCAUCCAGAAAUCAAAGAAUCCCUGGCUUCACUCUGUGAACCGUUUUUUCCCCGAUCUCAGCUUAUUUCAUUCCUGAAAGAAAGGAUUUCGGAGGGGCCAGCGCAGCGGGAGGUGAGGGGCCCAGCGCUGGGCUUCCCUCCUGUCCCUCCUACCGUUUCCUCUGUCUUGUAGUCCCCGGGCGCUGUGCUAGGCCGGCGCAGGUGUUGCCAUCAUUCUGCUGUUCGGAUUUUUUUGACCAUUGGUUUUGGGGGUGUUCACUUGGCGCAUGUGCCACAAGGAGCGCCCCCAGCAGAAGGCCUGCGUGUUCUGUGUCCGUGCAGGACUUGGGGGGAGGCAGGCCGCGCGUGGACCAAGCUGGUGCCUUGCUUCUCGUGCUUCCCAACCGCGUCACCUGGGGUGUGUGGCCUCAGCUCGCCCACCCUGCUUGCCUUGUCUGUGAAGUGGAGGCAACAAGUGCAUACACGCCUCCUAGAGUUCUGAGGCUCUUGACAGUGUGCCAGACCCCGGAUUGUACUCUGAGCUCCCGCAGCGGUUCCGUCUCACCUUCCCUGCUCCUGAAGAGCUGUUGGUCCAUCAAGAAGGUGGGCAAAUAGAUGAACACCACCUGGGGAGGACAAAGUCUCAAAGAUUAUCAAGGACUUGGAGGUGGAUGCUUUCUUCGCCUCUUCUAUUGAAAGAUAACUCGGCAUUCUGAGCCUGAAAAAUAUGGAGCAUAGAUGGCUGCUGUUGCUCCUGGCAUCAUGGCCAUGUUCACGUUGGGAAGGAGGUAGAGGUCAUGAUGGUUAUCUCCAUCCUUUUUAUGAAGAAAACAGAAGCUUAUGUAGAAGUUCCUCCCCACCUCCUUCUCACUGGCCGGAGUGGGUGGUGUGGCCACCCCUAAUUGCGAGUGAGUUUGAGAAAGGAGAAAGUAGAGUCACCCAGAUUGACUUGCCCUGUGGCCUGAGGUUUGAACCUGAGUUUGGAUUCUGCUAACAAGCCGAAGGGGACGGGUGGUCCCUAGUAAGCAGCACAUGAUGUCUCCGAUGCUUUGCUUUGAAAAGCUGAGUUCCUGGGACAUUCAGGGAGUAUGGCUGGGCAGUGAGGAGGCCUGGGACCCGGGCCACGCCGCCCAGUGGGGCAGAGCAGCAUGACCCCCGCCUCGCCGUAGAGGGAACCACGCUGGGACGGCAGACACAGAGGACAAAGUGAAGCAGCAGAUUAUUUGGUUGGAGGGAGCGAACCGUGAGAAGUGGGAAGGGCUCCUCCUUGUAGAUGGGUCCACGGAAGCCUCUUGAUGACACCUUAGUCGUUCUCCAGAUAUUACUGAGUGCUGAGUGCUAAGUGCUCCCUGAGAGUGGAGCUGGGCCCCAGGGACACGGUGGAGAAGCCAGGAGAAGGCCAUGUGUUCGGUGCUGACCGACCCGGGAAGGAGGCCCAAUCCCCACCGGGCGGCAGACGGUGGCAGGUGGAGGCAGUGCUGCGGGGACGCAGACAGCUAGACGAGGGGGGACGUGUCCUCCCAACACCCCCGAAGCAGCUCCUGUGGCCACUGUACCGCCGAGGACACUGAGGUGCCCGGGUGGUGUGUGGGAGCCUGGCCAUCAACCUGCCCGGCCCCCAGAGCACAGCCUUGGGAACUUGCUCGUUGCGGUGGCCUCCUGGGAGUGGGCGGCCAGGCCCAGGGACUGUCGUGUGUGCCGGGGUCCUUCGUCAAGGCGGUGACAUAUUCUUCUUCUGCUGCUUCUUUUUUUUUUUUUUUCAUUAACCCUUUAAGAUUUACCCGGUAUCGACUUAUGAAUACCAACCUCUUUGUGUAUAUUCCUCAUAACAUGAGAAAAAAAUGUAUAGUGACCAAAUGCAGAAUGCAUUCCUGUUCUCAUAAUUAGAUGGACUCCCCCCCCGACAAUGUCUUCACUUUUAGUCAGAAGCAGCAAAUGCAAAGAAACCAUAUUAAAGAGAAAAGAGGGAGGAAAAGCUGGAAUCAGACACUUAGAGGGAAAAAAUACCAAGAAGUCUGCUCUAAAACAACUUUCCAGAAGCUGUUUUGCAGAGUACGGAUGACGUCAAUCAUCCGGGGGUGGUUUUGAAGGGAGAGAAAGGCCUGGCAUAUUGUCUUCAUGGGACCUAAACAAACAAAAAAAGUAGAAUGUGUUCCUCGCCCCACUGGGGGAGAGUGCUUGGACAGUCACACUAGUAUUUAGGUGACGCCGGUGACAAUGCACGGCGCUCUCCAGCUGCCUCUUUAUCUAGCCCUGUAAGUGUGGGAAGAGUUACCUUGCUGGCCUCGAGCCUACGUGCUCUGCACUUUCUGUGCCUGGCCUGGGAAGCACGGAACCAGGGGCCGGGGCCUGGGUCCCGAGCUGUCCUGGGAGGCACGGCCACCUCGGACACAAACGCCCCAUCUCGUGUCUGAGGGCAGGUGUCCAGCACCUGCUCUGCCCUGUGACGGGUGACCGUAGUGUCUGAGCCGCUUGGUGCUUUGGUUUCGGAUUGAUAAUGUGACAAAGGCAGGAAAAGUAAAAGAUGAAUGUGGAACCGUCUAUGGGAAUGGAAAGGAAGGAAGAAAAGGAAAAGAAUAGUGAUGCUUGGGGGCACCUGAGUGGCUCAGGGUGUGACCCCGGGGUUCCAGGAUCGAGUCCCCCAUCGAGCAUGGAGCCUG